ACACGGACCAAGGAGUUCAAAUGGCACGCGAGUCAUUGGGUUUCGACACCCGAAGGCGAAGUGAAAUGCAAACGUAUUGUUAUUUGUGGUUGUUCCAUGAUUAAGCGAUAAGCUACUCAUGCUUUCUGGCAUUUGUAGACUACAAGCGUGAUGUUUGAGACCCGAAAGAUGGUGACCUAUGCCUAGUCAAGAUGAAGCCAGAGGAAACUCUGGUGGAUGUCUGAAGUUAUUCUGACGUGCAAAUCGAUAAUCUGAUCUGGGUAUAGGGGCGAAAGACUAAUCGAACCAUCUAGUAGCUGGUUCCUUCCGAAGUUUCCCUCAGGAUAGCAAGCGUACAUCUUUAGUUUCAUCCCGUAAAGCGAAUGAUUAGAGGCAUUGGGGCGUAUAUAGCCUCAACCUAUUCUCAAACUUUUAAUGGGUGUGAGUGUUCUUUCUCAAUUGAAGAACGCUGCUAAAUAAGUGUGCUUAGUGGGCCAUUUUUGGUAAGCAGAACUGGCGCUGUGGGUUGAACCAAUUGUUGAGUUAAAGUGCCUAAAGCUGGAAUGCGCAUGAGAUCUAUAAAGGGUGUUAGUUGCUGAAGACAGCAGGACGGUGGCCAUGGAAGUCGGA
rnacentral:rRNA from 1 species